rnacentral:lncRNA from 1 species
UGUCUCUUUUUCUCCAAUUCCAAAAGUUUCACCUCACUUCUCUCCUCAUAAAUCAAAACCUAAUUUCUAUCUUUCUAAUUUUCCAUUAAGGCCCAAUUUAUUACUAACUUAUAUUAUUUAUUUUAUUAUUUCAUUUAAAUAAUAACACUAAAACAUUAUUUAAUCAAUUAAAUAAUUCUAAAUAAAUCUACCAACCUCUAAUUAAUCGUCACACUUUCUACAUAAGGUUCACUCACCCU